CAGCCGUAAACUAUGCUCGCUAGGUGUCAGGCAUGGCGCGACCGUGUCUGGUGCCGCAGGGAAGCCGUGAAGCGAGCCACCUGGGAAGUACGGCCGCAAGGCUGAAACUUAAAGGAAUUGGCGGGGGAGCACCACAACAGGUGGAGCCUGCGGUUUAAUUGGACUCAACGCCGGGAAGCUCACCAGGGGUGACAGCAGAAUGAUGGCCAGGUUGAUGACCUUGCUUGACAAGCUGAGAGGAGGUGCAUGGCGUGUGACUGU
rnacentral:rRNA from 1 species